CGGGACUGGGAAGUGAACCAGUACCACGCGUGCAAUGGCAGCGGGGCGCUGGCCUGCGGGGUGCCCCACAGCUGCUGCGUCCGCGGGGUGCCCGGAGGAGUGGUGAACACCCUGUGCGGCUAUCGGACCCUGGACAAGCAGCGCCUGGAGCUGCUGGGCACCAUCCACGUGCGGGGCUGCAUCCACGCCGUGGGGCUCUGGCUCAAGGACAACUUCGAGGCCACCUUGGCCAUCGUGUGCUCGCUGCUGCUGCCGCAGGUAUGCCGGGAUCCCAUGGG